rnacentral:rRNA from 1 species
CCUACGGGAGGUAGCAGUGAGGAAUAUUGGUCAAUGGACGAGAGUCUGAACCAGCCAAGUAGCGUGAAGGAUGACUGCCCUAUGGGUUGUAAACUUCUUUUCUAUGGGAAUAAAAUGUUCCACGUGUGGGAUUUUGUAUGUACCAUAUGAAUAAGGAUCGGCUAACUCCGUGCCAGCAGCCGCGGUAAUACGGAGGAUCCGAGCGUUAUCCGGAUUUAUUGGGUUUACAGGGAGCGUAGGUGGAUUGUUAAGUCAGUUGUGAAAGUUUGCGGCUCAACCGUAAAAUUGCAGUUGAAACUGGCAGUCUUGAGUACAGUAGAGGUGGGCGGAAUUCGUGGUGUAGCGGUGAAAUGCUUAGAUAUCACGAAGAACUCCGAUUGCGAAGGCAGUUCACUGGACUGCAACUGACACUGAGGCUCGAAAGUGUGGGUAUCAAACAGGAUUAGAUACCCCUGUAGUC